rnacentral:rRNA from 1 species
UAAGGAAUAUUGGACAAUGGCCGCAAGGCUGGUCCAGCCAUCCAGCGUGCAGGAAGAAGGCCCUAUGGGUUGUAAACUGCUUUUAUCAGGGAAGAUACCUCUGGAUUUACUCCGGAGCUGACGGUACCUGAAGAAUAAGCACCGGCUAACUCCGUGCCAGCAGCCGCGGUAAUACGGAGGGUGCGAGCGUUAUCCGGAAUUACUGGGUUUAAAGGGUGCGUAGGCGGCUUUGUAAGUCAGGAGUGAAAGUUUGCGGCUCAACCGUAAAAUUGCUUUUGAUACUGCAGAGCUAGAAUCAGGAUGAGGUCAGCGGAAUGUGGCAUGUAGCGGUGAAAUGCAUAGAUAUGCCAUAGAACACCAAUUGCGAAGGCGGCUGGCUAGACCUGUAUUGACGCUGAGGCACGAAAGCGUGGGGAGCGAACAGGAUUAGAUACCCUGGUAGUCCACGCCCUAAACGAUGCUUACUCGACGUAUGGCCCUU